GUGACGUUGGGGAUUUUUUUGUGUUCACUGGGAUAAUGAAAGGAUGAUAUCAGUUCCAAUAAGGAUCCAGAAUUCUACAGGAACACCACCAGAUGCUGCUGUUUUUAUGUAGGGGGAGAUUGAUGGGAGAUAUCACAAGCACUAUCCUUCUUUAUUUAGGUAAUAUGGUAGGGCGUCUCUAACAGCGACCACAUAUUUGAAGCUAAUAUUUUGAUUGGCUCAGUUCAUUGAAGCAAUGAGUAGCUGAGCUUUACAAAGAUCUUCAGGCUCUGUCUUUCAUCUGAACCAAACGGGGAUUAGAGGGGGUGAAUGACCUGCUUUACCAUUCUUGAUCCUUGUCCAGUGGUCUCUGUUCCAGGUAUUAGUUUUAAUGGUUGUUCAAGCCUCUAAAUAGAAAGCAACAUCAGAGGCUUAUAAUUAUGGCAAGUCACAAUGUAUGAACACCUUUCUCCAAACUUAGAACAGCACAGGAUCAGGCCCUUCAGCCCACCAUGUCUGUGGUGAACAUGGUGCCAUUCUAAACGAAUUCCAUCAGUCUGCAUGUGGUGUUCCUGUAGAAUUCUGGAUCCUUAUUGGAACUGAUAUCAUCCUUUUAUUAUCCCAGUGAACACAAAAAAAUCCCCAACGUCACCCUCAGGGACCUCUUGAUUAUUCCGAAUAUUUGAUUAAUCGGCACACGCCUGCUCCGAUCGGUAACGGUUAAUAAAAGGUUUACUCUACCUCCAGCAGCGCAGCACUCGGAAAUGCAGAAGUUUUUCUCUGUACAUAUGACAACAACGAUAAAUCAAGUCAAAUCAAAA